rnacentral:rRNA from 1 species
GGUUAAUGCUAGCGGUGCGCCUAACACAUGCAAGUCGAGCGGGAGUUGAUUAUAGCUUGCUAUAAUUAAUGAGAGCGGCGAACGGGUGAGUAAUAUGUUGGUACAUGCCUCUAAGUCGGAGAUAGCCCACUGAAAAGUGGAAUAAUACCGGAUGGUCUCGAGAGAGUAAAGAUUUAUCGCUUAGAGAGUGGCCUGCAUUCUAUCAGCUAGUUGGUGAGGUAAAAGCUCACCAAGGCAAUGACGGAUAAUUGAUCUGAGAGGAUGAUCAGUCACAAUGGAACUGAGACACGGUCCAUACUCCUACGGGAGGCAGCAGUGAGGAAUCUUCCACAAUGGGCGCAAGCCUGAUGGAGCGACGCCGCGUGAGGGAUGACGGCCUUCGGGUUGUAAACCUCUUUCAGCAGGGAAGAAGCGCAAGUGACGGUACCUGCAGAAGAAGCACCGGCUAACUACGUGCCAGCCGCCGCGGUAACAC